rnacentral:rRNA from 1 species
CGAGUAACCUGCCCUUAACUCUGGGAUAAGCCUGGGAGACUGGGUCUAAUACCGGAUAUGACUCCUCAUCGCAUGGUGGGGGGUGGAAAGCUUUUUGUGGUUUUGGAUGGACUCGCGGCCUAUCAGCUUGUUGGUGAGGUAAUGGCCCACCAAGGCUUCGACGGGUAGCCGGCCUGAGAGGGUGACCGGCCACACUGGGACUGAGACACGGCCCAGACUCCUACGGGAGGCAG